GGCGGCGCGCGGCGGGAAACGGGCGGCGCGCGGCCGCUGAGGGCUGAGGCGGGCCCGCCCUGAGGGGAGAAGCGGCGGGACGGGAGCGGGACCGGGAACGGGAACGGAACCAUCGCCAGAGAUGACAAGAUGGACAACGGGGAGAAAGAAGUGUCUGUCAUUCAGUGAGGACAGCAAAGGAUCCUGAAAGCUGAACAGUGUUUCCAUUGUUUCAACACAAGCUCCGCUUCUCUACUGAAAGAUCCAAAUGACAAGGACACUGAGGGUUUCUUUCUCUUUGCUGUUUGUUUCCCUAGUAACAAAUACACAAGCUGCACUGUUAGAUACCAUCCUUUCAUGCUUUUCUUUUUUUUUUUUUUUUUUUUUUUUUUGAAGAUAAAGACAUGUCAAGGAUGCAGUCAGUGGUAGCAGGUUAAGGUUGCUUGUAUGAAUGCACCUCCAAUACGGUGUGAUGUACUUCAGGGCACUGCAUGUAGUCAGUGGCUGAGAUAGUGAAAUAACUUUAAAAGCGUGGAAGAAAUUAUGGAAGUAGUGAUGCAUCUCAAUGUUUGCAUCACUACUUCCUUUGCUUCUUUAGGAUAAGUUAAGUCUCAAAAGUUUGGAGACUUUAACCAAACUUUAAAAAUCAUUUGGUCUUAGAAUUUCAAACUCUAGAUUGUCUUGUGUUAGCUGAAAGAAAACCACUAAAAGAAUGAAACAUUAUUUUUUAAAAAAUAUUUUAAUUACUUUCCUAUGUGUUUGCUAUAAAUGCAAGCUUAGUAAUGGAAAACAAAAAAUCUGAUCUUGUGUUCUCAAUUACUCACGUUUGUAACGUGUUCUCCAAAGUUUUCCAAGGAAAAGAAAAAUGCAUCUUUUUUAUUGGGACAUGGCAGCAACUGGUCUAAAUGCUGUAAUGUAGAAAUAGCUGACAAAAUUAAUACCAAAGUUCUGAUUAUAUAAUAUGAAAAUACAACAUUAUGCAUUAAUUGUAAGCCAGCUUGUUGUUAGGACAUAAGUUACACUGGUAUUUGUCACAGUGUAUUUUAGUUACUUGUCUGGAACUGCCUUGUAGGGAGGUAUUUCAGGUGAACAAAUAAAUUCCUUUCAUUUGGGGUGCUUUCUGAAAUCAGUACAUCUAUUAAAUUGUACCAAUUAUGCCAACAUAAAACCUGCAAACCCCGAAAAGAUGCAGAGAAGCUGCAUCUCCAGUGGAUCAGGGAAUACAAAGGAUGUGAUCAGCUGUCCUGAAACACUUUGAUGUCUCAAGCUUUCAUCAAGUGGAGAAUAGGAAAAGGAUUUGUUUGGGGGCUAUGAAUCAAACAAAUCUGUAUCAUGAUUUUUAUGUGAUGUAGACAUCUGCUCAUAUACAUAUAAAUGGAUGUGAUGUGGAAAAAAGUCAGAAUCACCCAGAGCUCCAGAUACCUAAUUUAGGAGAAUGUAUGUUUCCUCUGUCAGUGGGCUGAAAUACACACCACUGGAGGGCAAUUUGUCAUCUGCAAAAUCUGAAUUGCUCUGUUAAUGCCCAUAAUUACUAUGGAAGAUCUACUUUAUCUCUUGUGUGACUUUUGAAAUACCAAAACCAGAUGUUAAUUAAACUUUCCUAACAUUCAGACUGACAGGUAUACAAGUGUCCUACCUAGAGCAGAGAGGUUCAUCAGGGAAUUAGCCAGUACACAUGCCCUUGAAGCAUCAGCAUGCUUUAGUUGCUAGGUUAAAUUUUAUUAUCUUUUCCCCCUGAAUUCGUUUUUUAAAAUCACUUAGUAUCAGCUUUCAGUAGAAUAUCUACAUGAUAACAGUAAGUUUAGUUUUGUUUUAUACUUCUUUUAGUCUUUAAACAAAAAUAUAAGGCCCACAAAAGAAUCAUCAUGCUAUAAGCACAGUAAUGAAAAUGGUGAUUGUGAGAACAAGUGACAUCUGUAUUUAUUGUUGAAAUGUGCUUUUUGUACUAACCAAGCUGUGGAGAGAUGUCCUCAAAAGCAGAGGCAGCUUCAGGGACUGUGGCCAGUCUGUGUAAGUGGGGAAACCUGGUUGUGUCACCAUUUCCUUACGGCUUUGGUUGUUUGCUUUGUGAAAGUCUGUCAAGAGACUCAAGAGCAGAACAGACAAUUGCAGUGUGGAAAUACCUGUGUGUAUCUCUAAAACUUACAACAAUGUUUUUCUAAUGAGAGAAUUUGUAAUUAUUUCAUUUUGUUUGUAUCUGGCACAACCAAUUACAACCUCUGGAACAGCAGGAUUCACAGGUCCUGUCUGUUAGUUCUGUAACUUCUCGCUCCUCUUUGAAAAAGAAGCAGUAGCUCUUUGAAGCAAUCUCAAGCUCCUUUGCAAGGGGUGAUGUCUAGAUCAUCUCCAGAGACUGAACAGACAGAACUGUUCUAGCCCCUCCCUGACAGUGGCUGUGAUUCUGAAUGCAGAGAGGACUGGAGGCUGUGCCUCCAGCAUGAAACAUUGGGAUUGUAGACAAGGAGCAGACUGCACUUUACCAGGAGGCUGGAAACAUCAUCAUCAGUUUUCCAGCUGUUCACUCCUGGUAAGUAAAUUACACAGUACAGUGGAAUAUUUAGCAUGCAAACAGGAGUGGCAACACAGUAAACCAGCACAACAACACAUAGAAACUAAUUGCACUUGAUGAAUAGUAUAGCAUUUAAAUCACAAAAUCAGAUGCUAGUAGGGAUUUUCUGUACUUAGCAGAAGAGAAAGCAGAAGAUACCUUUUUCUGAGGGAAAAGGAAAGGUAGUAGAAUAAAGAGAACUACAUAAGCGUUUCAAUGUAUACAUACAUGUUAAAAACUCCAUCCUAAUGUAGGAUUGUCAUAUAUUUCAUGCAGCUAUCAACUCCCUGGCUGACUCUUGGCCAGCUGUUGCUUAUCUGGGAAGUUUAAUUUGUGUUUUGUGUGCCAUAGAAAAGCAGAGAUUAAAUUUCUGUUGAUAUGUGUUUUGUAGAAACACAUUCUGCAUAUGCUUGCCUAUAUAUGCAAAACAGUUGGCUAGAGGCAGGGAUUCAAGCUUUUUCUGUAUUGGGAUUGUUCAGUUUCCUUUUUUUUUUUUUUUUUUUUUUUUUCCUUUAUUCUAAGAGAUGUAUUUCUUAUCUUAAAAUCCAGACUUAUAUUUCCAUCUUCAUUUUCUAUCCUGCCCAGAUUAGGGCAUCCAGCACAAGCAUAUUCUAUCAUUUCACAGAUAAAUAGAGCCAGAGGAUUAUUGUAAACAUGUGGUACAGCUCACCGUGGGACAGAAGCCAUGUGACUGGUGAUAUUACUUGUCAUUUAAACCAGAACAACCCUUAGGGAAACAUGCCUUAGAACAUCCUGUCUACACAAAUUGUUAAUUCCUUGUUCCAGUCAUUAAUUACUCUCAUAAUUUCUCCCAUUAAUGUAUUUAAUUUUACCUUUCAGCUGUUGUUUCCUCUGUCUCUGUAAGAUGGAGGAGACCAUAGGACUCACUACAGACACGAGAGCAUCCUUUUAAGUAACAGCAUUUGAUAAAACACAUUUUUCAAUUUCUAAGUUGUUUCUAUAUCUCUUCUCAGAUCCAUUCCAAGGUAUCAAAUGAUUUCUUGAGCUGUGGAUUCCCGCAGUGGAUUCAAGCAUGGGACUGUCCUUCUCCUGUUCAGCCAGUCAGAUGAUCGUAUCUAUCUGUGCAAUUAAUUGCCAGUUCAACUGAUUCUUUAUUGGGAUCCCCAAAGACAUUUCAGAAUUGCUGUUCCCACUUCAAAAACAGGAAUAUCUUAUUAUAGGGGCAAGCAAACCCAAAGUUAGUUAAUUGAUGGUAAAAAUACUUUCAACUUGUUAGUGUUUUCUUAUGAAUCAGGCUAGACAUACUAUACAAAUUAAAAGCUUGGCCAUAUUCAGAAUGCAUCUGCUAUCAGGAAUGACCAGCAGGUUACCUAGGGAUUUUCACAGAAGGCGAGUUUAAUUUUGUUUCAGAGGUGAAUUACAGAUUUCCAUAGCAAAGCAAUACUCUAGGAAAAAUUAAAUUGGAACCAGUUUUGAUUAGGAUUGACUUGCUGUGGUAGCCAGCCUAUUAUACACAGGGCAAAAUGCAACAGGGCAUCAAAUUAUUCUCUGGAAUUAUAUGAAGACAGAUACUAAAGAGCUGAUUCUUUUUGCAAUAUUGAGAUGAAUUUACAAAGUAAAGAGUAAUGUUGGUCAUGGAAAUUUUCUGAGAAGGACACAAAUAAAAGCUUUUAUUGUGAUUAAUAUGAGUCUAGCAUAACUUUGAAACUGAAGGAGACUGAAAAGAAGAACAGUAAUAACAAGAAAAAACAGAUGUUCUGUGACUAUCAGAGCACAGGUUUAUACACUGUAACCUGACACUUGACACAUAUCUUUUUAGUAACUUAUCUAAAAAGUGUCUACAAAGAUUGCUGGAAGGAGAACAUACAAAGCAACCCCUGUCUUCCUGCUCUUCACACUGGGAUUUUUAAAUUCACUGUGGCAACUGCUAGAGCUGCCUCUGCUGAUUUAUUACUUGUAUUGAUACACCUGAUUCUGUAAGAUUAACUCAAAGGCCUUAUUUGCCACCCUGUAAUUUCCCCCUCUUCUUCAUCUUUCCUUCCUUUUUUCCCUUAUGUCAUUUAAUUCUGUAAACCCCCGGAGAAUGCAGGGAUUUAUAGGAAAGACUAGUUUUAUUUAGACUCAAGAAAAAGCAUCACUGAUGUUUAUGUUUGGUAACCAACUUACCUGUACAUUUCAUUUGUAGGUUGGAACAGGCUAUAUGUGAUUUCUGUACCCUAAAUACUAGAUAUUUCUGAUUUUUGUUUUCUCCAAUGGAUUUUUAUUUUCUCCAAGGCUAUCUCAGUAACUGAGAAGUGAACAGUCCUAUUAAAACUGCUGAAGGAUUUAGAGAAAAAGCAGCCUAACACUUUGUCCCACUGGGAAGGUGUGCCUGGUACUGUACUGGCUCCAUCUUGUGGCUGAAUCUUUAUAACCAGCUGACCCUUCUUGCCAUCAUUCUUAUAUAAAUAUUGAUAAAUAAGUGUGUGAGCUUCCUUUAUAACUUUUAGGACAAAUGGGUCAAAUUUUUCUGGUAAUAGAGAAAUAGGGAGGCAGGUUGAAGACAAGAUUGGCCCAAGCAAGCAUUGCCCAGUUCCCUGUGUAGCAAUGUCAAUCACAGUGUUUGGUUACAUUCUCCUGCUUACUGUCAGAGGAGCCUCAGCUAGGCAGAGGGAGAACAAGCAAAUGCCAGCACUUUUUUAUUCCAACCUGCACUAAUGUGCUGUUCAUUAUUAACUUGCUGUGGCCAGUAAAGCAAUUCACCAUUUACCUUCAAGAGUGGCCUAGAGUUCCUACCAAAACAUAAAUACAGAUCAGUGUAGUUUAUUUUGGCAGCAUUCUUUUUUUCUAAAACAAAUAUUUUUUCAAGUGGUUGUCAUUAAACAAAAUGCUAGCAUUUGAACGGAAGGAAACAGCAGAUACCUUUCAAUUAACCUUUUCCUGCCAUCCCUGAACUGUGUUCAGUAAUUGCCUCCAUUUGACUGCUCAACCAUGAACUGAGCAUAGGAAAGGACAAAACACACAGCAGAAAUUACAGAAGGCUGCCAACACCCCUGCUCACUGACCACAUGGCUCAGCUAGUGCCUGCUUCAUUUCCCAGUUAUAUAAGUAAGUUCAUGUUUUGGUGUAUAGCACAAAUAGGUGUUUUCUUCAGACUGCAGAAAAGUAAAUAAACUUUUAGCACCUUCAGUGUUGGCAGCAGGAAGGCAGUGAGCUGCCAGGACAUGCUGGGUGUUCUGUUCUGUUGUGUAUCAGCUUGUGUGUUACAGGAUAGAGCUUCUAACAGGCACGGUAGAAAUGGCACUCAUCUCUAAAGAUAUUGCCACAGUUGCAAGAUUGCAAAUAUCAAGAGAAUACAAAUUAUGAUUGUAGAAACUGGUAGAGGGUUGGUUACUGGGUAUGAGGUAUCAGAUAUAAGAUUGGCUGCACCCUUAUCAUGGCAGUGUUAAUAUGAAAGACAUGUCCCCUGAUCCAUAUGACAUGAAAACAAAGAAAAUGCCUGUUUCCAAGGAGUCACAAGCCACAGUAGAAUAUGCAUGGCAAGAAAAGUCCCUCUUGCUAUGUCAUACAGAGCAUCCAUGACAUCCAGGCUUGAGUGACAAAGCAGCUUUACCUUGUGAUGUACUGCCAAUCUGAAAAACAUUCUAUAUCUAAAGUUCCAUUUUGUAUCCCCUGCAGACAUGCUCAGAAAUCUAAAAAUAAGUACAGAUUUACAAGACUGCCACAGUGAGUUAAUAGUGUCAAAGUCUCACACUCUCUGCUGCCCAUCAUACCCGUUGCAUACAGCAAAUCCACUCAGAGCUUCACUACAGUUUCAUAUUAAGGUUUCCUUGCUAGAUUUUGUAUCAAGAAAAAAUCUUUGCUUUAAGUUUGUCACUUAGUCAGGAUGCACUGUGCACACAGUGCAUACCUACUGUGCUGUGCCAUACAGCUGCUGAAUGCUCUCUCUGUUCUGCCCUGGUACUGACACGUCUGGCAGAAUGUUUGCUGAGGGACUGCUGCAGCUUGUGGCCCAGGGCAGCAGUGCAGGAGAGGAAUGGGGUGGCCAGGCUGAUACAACCACAGCAUGAUCAGUGCUUGAAAUGGCUGGAACAAGGGUGGGAGGGAGCCAUAAAAGACUCUCUUACCUCUGCUCGAGACAGCAGCAUCCAGCACUACACAUAAAAUGUGUGUCAUAGAAUGUAAUAACAAUUACUUAAAGGCAGAGGUAAUGCUACUGCUUUGUGUUCUGCAGUGUGCCAGGCUAGAAGGCUGUUGUCUGGUAACAGAGGGGUGAAAUGCAAAUACUGCAACGCCACCUCAGCUGGUAUCUAAGCUCUACAGAGGCCAGCACUCAGGUGGAUCUUACCCACACCAGCUGGGGGUUACAGUCUUCAACAUCCUUCUCUGCAUCCAUAUAUUCCAGAAAAGUAGUGCCAAUGUUAGUAUCCCACGCAAAGAAACUGUCACAGGUGCCUUUGUCCUGUGCUUUUCUGAAACCCAUUUUGCAUCCUAGGUUUGUUUUUUGCCUUCCCCAGUAUCCUUGAGAAGACCCGUUCUGCCAGAAAUAGCCACAUUUCAGUGCCUUUCUGGGGUAUCUCAAACUUUUAGGUUCUAAAAAAAAGUCACCUGAGACCUCUGGAUGGCUCAGGGGGCACAGGACAUAACCAAACCAGCUGCUCUGGCAGGAGCACACAAGCACAAGUCAACAUAACUCACAUUUGAUCAGGAAACGGAUACUUGCUCUUGUGUGAGCUGAAGAAUUACAGAGCAGAGCAGACAGCAUCAUCUGUGUGAGCAGGGUGCAAAGCAGGGCAUGGAGGCUGACAGAAAAGCUAUUGGAACCAGCAAAAUCCCCUGAGCAUCAGUACAGAAAUUUCCUGUAUUUUUGCUGCUGCUACAAACAAGAUUCUUCAACCCUUUGGAUAUUGUUACAAGAGAGAAAUGUGUCAUCUUAGCUGGGGGUAUAAAACACACCCGCAGGCUGGGGAAGUUAGUUUUUCAUGUUACAAGCUGUAAUACUGUUCUCUCAGUCCUCUAUCUUGAAUUGCUCUUUUGAUACUUCUGCCAGUAUGUAUGGAAUGGGUGGAUGGGAACAGAGAUGAGAAGAACAUAUUGUACAAAGUUUGACAAUCAUAACUAGCAUAAUCAUAAUCAUUAAUAUUCAUAUUAAGUUCCGAAUGCCUCACCUUGCUUCUGUGCUUCAUUCCCUAGCACGGUGGUGUGCUUUUUUUGUAGGUGGUUGGAAUUGCUUGGACCCACACCAGAAAUGGGGAAAAAAAUGGAAUAAUGAUCAAAUCAGACCCAAGCAAAAAAAUUGUCUUUAAGUCCACAUUUCUACUGCCUUGACCAGUCAUAGUGUACACCCACUGUGAGACUCAGACUGCUUUAAAAUAAUACAACUAAACAACCAAACCCAAAACAAAAAGAACCCCCAAACCUACCACAUCAAAAUAGAAAUUAUUAAUUUACAGUUUCAGAGAUAUGUUUGUGUUGUGCCCUGUCACUAGGUUAGCCUUUGACAAACACUGGAGCUCUAAAUCUAGAAGACUUAUAUGAUAUUUUUCUAGACAGUCUGGAUAUUAUUAUAAAUUCUGCUGUUGAACGGUCGCGGUUGACUGCCAGCAGGGUUUUUAUUCGCAUAACGCAGUUCAUGGCAGCUGUCCCCCAGCAGAUGGCACGAGAAGAGCCGGGACCAUCCCGACAGCUCUGCAGGACCGGGCUGGGCGGGAGCGCUUUGCAGCAGGAGCUCCGAGCUACGGUUACGCUUUCUUCCUUCAAAGCUUUUAUUUGCAUUUUGACGGAGGCAAAGGUUCUACUACGAGGCUGAAUAAAAAGUGUCAUUACAUCAUUUCUAGGGUUGGUUUUGUCUCUCUUAUUUUUGCUUUCUGGAGAUUAGAUCAGCAUUGCUAAAACAUUUGACCCACAGACAAAAUGAAUAGCAAACAUUACACAAAAUUUGGUUUUAUUUGUAGAAAGUAUGUGUAAAAUCCAAUAUCUGAAACGUGCAAGGUGGUACGAGAUUGAAAGCUGAGCCCAGGAGCAGGAACAGCACAAACUGUGGCGGUGCCAGGAAGGGCAGCCUGUGCAGCAAGGAGGGGCUCAGCCUUUGCGUGUCUGCAGCAGCUGUAGCUCUGUAAAAACGGGGAUCAUCCUGCACUGCCCAUGUCUUCCAGUCAAAACAGAAAAAAGGAUGUGAGGUGUAGCCCCCUUUAUACCCUACACCAACGAGACUGAAGUAGGGGUGAAAGUGAUUAAAGGAUAAAUUCCAUGCC